rnacentral:rRNA from 1 species
CCUACGGGUGGCAGCAGUAAGGAAUAUUGGUCAAUGGAGGCAACUCUGAACCAGCCAUGCCGCGUGCAGGAAGACAGCCUAUGGGUCGUAAACUGCUUUUAUGUCGGAAUAUGUACGGCAAGAAUAAGGAUCGGCUAACUCCGUGCCAGCAGCCGCGGUAAUACGGAGGAUCCAAGCGUUAUCCGGAUUUAUUGGGUUUAAAGGGAGCGUAGGCGGCUUAUUAAGUCAGGGGUGAAAGACGGUGGCUCAACCAUCGCAGUGCCCUUGAUACUGAUGAGCUUGAAUAUAGUUGAGGUAGGCGGAAUGUGACAAGUAGCGGUGAAAUGCAUAGAUAUGUCACAGAACCCUUGCGAAGGCAGCUUACUAAACUAUAUUGACGCUGAGGCUCGAAAGCGUGGGGAUCAAACAGGAUUAGAUACCCUUGUAGUC